GAUGAACGCUGGCGGCGUGCCUAAUACAUGCAAGUCGAGCGAACGGACGAGAAGCUUGCUCCUCUGACGUUAGCGGCGGACGGGUGAGUAACACGUGGAUAACCUACCUAUAAGACUGGGAUAACUUCGGGAAACCGUAGCUAAUACCGGAUAAUAUUUUGAACCGCAUGGUUCAAAAGUGAAAGACGGUCUUGCUGUCACUUAUAGAUGGAUCCGCGCUGCAUUAGCUAGUUGGUAAGGUAACGGCUUACCAAGGCAACGAUGCGUAGCCGACCUGAGAGGGUGAUCGGCCACACUGGAACUGAGACACGGUCCAGACUCCUACGGGAGGCAGCAGUAGGGAAUCUUCCGCAAUGGGCGAAAGCCUGACGGAGCAACGCCGCGUGAGUGAUGAAGGUCUUCGGAUCGUAAAACUCUGUUAUUAGGGAAGAACAAAUGUGUAAGUAACUGUGCACGUCUUGACGGUACCUAAUCAGAAAGCCACGGCUAACUACGUG
rnacentral:rRNA from 1 species